UCUCUAUAUUCAAACUCGCGAGAACUCACCGCCCCGGGCACCAGUUCUAUCGGAACUUUCGGGAAUUGGUAAUAUCGACCAAUUGUGUUGAUGGUGUAUUGGACAGCGGUGACGAGGAUCUGUUUAGCAGGCGCUGGAGAGAGCAUUUUUGCGGCGGUGCUGGUAAAUCAAUGCCCUCUUCAACCAAUCACCAAUGUCAUCUACGGCUUAAUAGAAAUGUUUACCACGGAUGAGCAACGGAUAGGGCUGGGGAAGUAGGAGUUUCCACCGGGCUUAGUUAGUAGCCGGUGCCGCAAGCGGAGAACAAGGCAGAUUCCAAGCGGGAGACGAGCGCUUUUCCCCGUCCAAGGCUGUUGAGUGUGACGGUGCAAUCUUUAGGUUCUACACCAUCAGGCGGCGUAAACAUUACUGGAAAUAGCGAGCUAUCGAGCGGAGUCGACGAGCGAAGGCGGAGAAGGGAGAGAUCUCCCGGGGAACAUGCGUGCGGCAGCCGCUGUUGAUGUUCCUGCGAUAUCCACGAGCAGCUGACCCGAGAGGCAAAAUUGCAGACAACGGGACCUCGUCUGACAGUAACAUCAACGGAAACUUCAACUACAGUGCUCUCUAGAGUCGUCCUGUUGUCAAAGAAAGAUACCUGGUCAUCUCAAGUGGACUAACCAUGAGUAAGAUGAUACCUAUAACAGUCAUCAUGCAGUACCUCGUCCUUUGCUUCGUUGUUCUGGUGGUGUCAAGAUCUGUUGGUACGACCAAGACCAUUCCUCCUUCUGGGCUCAACGCUGCUCCGGACAGCCAAUCAGUCAGCCCGAAAGAACUCCUACUACAGAGAAAAGGCCGUUACAACAACGUAGCAAUAUCGAACAGUUCAAGUAGAGUUGUACAGAAUGAAUAUCGCAAAAACGUUUUCAAAGCGACUCACGCUAUCUCUAGGACACGUGUAGACGAGCCUGAUGCCGACACCCGGGUCCUAAUGAAGAUGACGUCACUCUCGUCACGAAUAUCACUCCGCCGAAGUGAACGGUCUACGGAUGAACAGAAUCUGGAGCAGGAGAGUUCUCAAUUGUUCCAAGAAGGUUCCCAGCUAUUCCAGGUUAUUACCUGUAUUAUCAACGUGACUUGUAACAUGGGAACUCCCAACUCUGAAUGCACGUGCGUUAACGAUCUUGACGCUUUCGGACAACCCAAAUGCACCCUCCCAAAAGCACGAAUCACUCACAAAUCUAAGGUUACAAUCGUACCUAUGAACCUGUUUUGCGCUGGUGUAGCACUUCCUCUAGUGGAUGAUAAGACACAUUAUGACGUACACGCUUCUUGCAGCAUCUUCGCACCGCAAGACGUUUCCUACAAGGUCAACUUUAUCAAAGAAGACGGGGAACGGGAUCUUAAGACAGGAGGACUUAUCUUAAAGUAUAAGGCAUGUCUAGAGCCGGAGAUGAAGAGGUAGAUAUAGAUAUAUUAUACUGGUCUGUUUAGAGGGACUACGGGUGAUGAUUACAUCACACACGGGGGAUUUUUGUAACAAGAUGGUUUACAUAAAUAUAGUGAGUAAAAACUGUCUGACAACUCAAACUUGGAACGUUGAAGUCAAUACGAUGAACCUAAAAAAUUCCAACCGGGUCCGUUCGAACCCAAUGGGUGUAUUGACCCAAAAACAUUCUGUGACCUUGCCAUCUAAUGUAACAAUACUGUAAAUUUUGUGUCCAGUUCGAGUUGGGUCCAUUUGAACCCCAGGAUAAUGCCUAGUUUUCAAAACGUUAAUUGUUUGGUUAUCCCGAAUAAGUAUGUAUUAUUGCAAUCAUCGCUGUGUG